rnacentral:hammerhead_ribozyme from 1 species
AUCCAGAUGACGAGUCCUUGAAUAGGACGAAACUUGCGUCAUGGAU